rnacentral:rRNA from 1 species
GACGAACGCUGGCGGCGUGCCUAAUACAUGCAAGUAGAACGCUGAAGGAGGAGCUUGCUUCUCUGGAUGAGUUGCGAACGGGUGAGUAACGCGUAGGUAACCUGCCUGGUAGCGGGGGAUAACUAUUGGAAACGAUAGCUAAUACCGCAUAACAGUAGAUGUUGCAUGACAUUUGCUUAAAAGGUGCAAUUGCAUCACUACCAGAUGGACCUGCGCUGUAUUAGCUAGUUGGUGGGGUAACGGCUCACCAAGGCGACGAUACAUAGCCGACCUGAGAGGGUGAUCGGCCACACUGGGACUGAGACACGGCCCAGACUCCUACGGGAGGCAGCAGUAGGGAAUCUUCGGCAAUGGACGGAAGUCUGACCGAGCAACGCCGCGUGAGUGAAGAAGGUUUUCGGAUCGUAAAGCUCUGUUGUAAGAGAAGAACGAGUGUGAGAGUGGAAAGUUCACACUGUGACGUAUCUACCAGAAA